rnacentral:rRNA from 1 species
UACGUAGGGGGCAAGCGUUGUCCGGAUUCAUUGGGCGUAAAGGGUGCGUAGGUGGCGCGGUAAGUCGGGUGUGAAAUUUCGGAGCUUAACUCCGAAACUGCAUUCGAUACUGCCGUGCUUGAGGACUGGAGAGGAGACUGGAAUUUACGGUGUAGCAGUGAAAUGCGUAGAGAUCGUAAGGAAGACCAGUGGCGAAGGCGGGUCUCUGGACAGUUCCUGACACUGAGGCACGAAGGCCAGGGGAGCAAACGGG